AUUGAACGCUGGCGGCAGGCCUAACACAUGCAAGUCGAGCUAUAGGCGGACGGGUGAGUAAUAUAUGAGGAUCUGCCCGAUAGCGGGGUCUAACUACUGGAACCGGUGGCUAAUACCGCAUACUAUCGGAUGAACCACUAUGGGAUUAGCUAGUGGGGGGGGUAAAGGCGCACCUAGGCGACGAUCUCUAGCUGGUCUGAGAGGAUGAUCAGCAAAACUGGGACUGAGAAACGGCCCAGAAUCCUACGGGAGGCAGCAGUGGGGAAUAGUGCACAAUGGGCGCAAGCCGGAUGAAGCCAUGCCGCGGGUAUGAAGAAGGCAGUAGGGUGGUAAAGUACUGGCAGCGGGGAGGCGUGACCCGCAGAAGAAGCACCGGCUAACUCCGUGCCAGCAGCCGCGGUAAUAC
rnacentral:rRNA from 1 species